rnacentral:rRNA from 1 species
UACGUAGGUGGCAAGCGUUGUUCGGAAUUAUUGGGCGUAAAGGGCGCGUAGGCGGCCAGCACAAGUCAGUUGUGAAAUCUCCGAGCUUAACUCGGAAAGGUCAACUGAUACUGUGCGGCUAGAGUGCGGAAGGGGCAACUGGAAUUCUUGGUGUAGCGGUGAAAUGCGUAGAUAUCAAGAGGAACACCUGCGGCGAAGGCGGGUUGCUGGGCCGACACUGACGCUGAGGCGCGAAAGCUAGGGGAGCGAACGGG